UUAAAAAUAGUAUUCAACCUAAAUUAUUGUUUUAAAUGGAUAAUUUACUAGUUGUAGAAGAUCUUGUCAAAAAUCUAAAACAUCUUUUCUGUGGUGAUUAAAAUGGAGAUACUUAUUAAUCUACAGCAAUAGCUUUAAAUACAAAUUAGGUAGUGUUAGUUUUUCUUUAUAAAAAAUUAGUUGACAAAAAAUUCUUUAUUUUUCAUGGUAAAUAAAAAUUGUAUUUGAUGGUGUGUUUUGUUCCUUUUAUUCUUGAAAGUUGAUAGAUUACAACAAUAUCUAUUUGAACAAUUGUCUCACCAUUACUGAUAUUCCUUUGCAAUAGAGAACAAGGUUAUUUAGGUAAAUUUUUUCAAUAUUUUCUAAAUAAUAUAAACAUUAAUUAAAAAGAGGAUGUAAUGAGAAACACCUUAGGUUCAAAUAGGCUCAACCUAAUAAAUAUCAUUUAGUAAUGCUAUAAUUUUAAAAAUAAUUGUUGUUAACUAUACUAUAUAAAUAAUCAACUAUAUUGCAUAAAUAGUGAGAAAAUUAAAAUACUAUUAGUUUUUAAAAUAGUAAUAUGUGUUUGAUAAAUUUUACUAUUGAAUUAUUGUAACAAUGCAAAUAACAUACUAAAAUGGGCAUAAUGUUAACUUAAAUUUAUUUACACAUUUAUAAAUUAUUAACACUAAAAAAUGUACAUUUAAUAAAAGUUAAAAUUGUCAUUCUUUACUUAUAGUGUUGAUAACAGUAACAAUUUUAUCAUAUUUACAAAUCCCUAACUUUGUUCUUAUAUAUUCUUUUUCUAUUUUAUAGGAAUAUCUAUUCAUGGCACUUGGAUCGGAAAAAAAUGAAUGUGAAAUUUGGAUUUCGAAGACUCAGAAGCCUUUGAAAGAAUUGCUAACCCUUCGAUCCAACAUUAAUUCUGACAGGCUGAGAUCGUGCAAUGUUUAUGAGCUCACAUACACCUCAUUGCACAAGAUUUAACACUCAUCAAUUUAAUGAUUCAAUUACCUUGACAAAAGAUCCAAUAGAAGGUCUCAAUUUGACUUCAUUUGUAGGCAUUGACUAUGUUGAAUCCAACAUUCCAUAAUGCAUCAUAAUGAAUGUAAGUUUAGACACUUGGGUUGUAUUAUUGCAGCUCAUCUAAAGGUUGUGGUAGUAAGUUCACCAAAACAUCAUGUAAAUAUCCAUAUUUAAUCAAAUCAGAAUUACUUAGGUAAAGGCAAGAGAUCUAACAAAUGAGGUGUGUGGGGUUUUAGAUGAGUUUUGUAGAGAACUCCCAAGUCAAUUUUAUGGAAAAGUACAGUUAAUAAGAAGAGAUUUUUUCUCUUCCAUUUUGUUUGCAAUUUUCUUCUAUAAGUGUGUUGCUUAAUUAUAUGAGUGGCUAAUUUUCUAAGAAGGCAAAGAGUAAAGUUCAAAUAUUCAAAUUGUGGACUUAAGUACUCUCUCAAGUGAGUUUAAUGUUUUUUAUUUUUAGUUACAUGUUUAUAAAUUGUAUUUUCUAUCGGUUAUUUUAUUUCACAUUUAUUUCUAGAUCUUGGUCCCUUUGAAUCUAUGUGGGUGAUUAGACCUAAUAUUGAUACACCAAUACGGUGGCAGGAACACUACAAUACAACUGUAGUACAUUAUAUACUUAAUCCGCAUAUUUAUUCAUAAAGUUGUUAAUUAACAACUAAGUCACACAAUAUUGAAACUUGUAAAAAAAAGCAUAAAAUAUAAAAAUGAGAUUUGAAUAUUGAAACUUUUAUUAUGACCAUGAUUUGAAUACCAAUAGAGAAUCUUAUAAUCUUAACACUUUGUGAUUUAGACUAUUCCUUCUUAACUUAUAUCUCUGUAAUUAUUUUGUUUUGAUAAUUUAUUAUCAGAUUUCCAAAUCCUCUAUAGUUCGAUCCCAGACUCACCAAAUUAUAUUAUAACUAGAUAAUCUUAAACUUAAGAGUAAUCAACCACUUUUGAGUCAUGUUAAGUUUUCAGUAAUGAAAGUUUAAAGAUAAGUCGUAAUCCAUAGAUCCAAGUUCCAAUUAGACUUGAAAUUUUAGUUCAAUGAUUAAUUUAUGAGGAUUUUUGGGCAAAAAUGAAGUUUUUGACAAAUUCUAUGAGUAAUACUGGGAUAUCAAGAGAAAUGAACAAGCUAACUGAAAUUUUACAUUUAAAUUGUAAAAGGUAUUAAAAAAAAGUGAUUGAAGGGAGAAAUAAAAAGCAAAAAUAAAGACUAAAAAAAUGCAAGAAAAUAAUAAAAAUAAAUAACAACAAAAUUGACAUCAAAUUUAGAAAUUUCUUGGUAACCAAGCCAAGAACUUGACACGACUCAAAGGUAGUUGAUUAUUCUCAAAUAUAAGAAUGUCUAGUUAUUAUAUAAUUCAAUGAGUUCAGGUCAAACUGCGAUAAAUUUAAAAAAUGGUAAUCAAUUACUAAAUGAAAAUAAUUCCAAAAAAAAAAAGAAGGAAUAGUCUAAAUCAAAAAGUGCUAAGGUUACACAAUUUAUUCUUGGUAUUCAAAUCAUGGUAAUAAUACUCUAUCACAUUUAUAUUUUUCAUUUUUUACUAGUUGGAAUAUUGUGUGACAUAGUUCUUAAUUAACCACUCUAUCAAUAAAUAUGGGAAUUAAGUACAUAAUACGCCACAACCAUAUUAGAGUGUUCCCACUACCAUAUUAGUGUGUCAACAUUAGGUCUAAAUAUCCAAAUAAAUACAAGCGGAUCCAGAUCUAUGAAUAAAUAUGGAAUGAAAAUAAUGGGUAGAGGUACAACUUAUAAACAUGUAAUUAAAAACAACAAACUUUAGAACCACUUGAAAGAUUAAUUAAAUUCACAAUUUGAAUCCUUAAGCUUCACCUUUCACCUUGACUUAGAAAAUUAGCUACUCAUAUUGGCAAGUAAAAUAGUUAUUUUGUUUAAUUAAUUUGUGAAAGUACAAAACAAGAAAAUUAAAAACAAAAAGAGAAGAGAAAAAUUUCUUCUUAUUAACUAUACUUUUCCAUGAAAUUCACUUUAGAUUUAAACUAAAUUUUCUUUACAAAAUUCACCUAAAACUCCACAUAUCUCAUUUGUGAGAUCUCUUGCCUUUAUAUAGGCAAAUUCUAAUUUGAGAAAGUGUGCGCAUUUACAUGAUAUUUUGGUGAAUUUGCAACGAUAACUUUUAGAUGAGCUUUAAUAUUACCAUCUAGGGUCUAAAAUUGCAAGUUUGCAACCAUUAUGAUGCAUUACAAAAUGUUGGAUUCAAUAUAAUCAGUGGCUACAAAUGAAGUUAAAUCGAGACCCUCCAUUGAAUCUUUUGUUAAGGUGGUUGAACUACUAAAUUGUUGAGUGUUAAAUCUAGUGCAAUGUGGUGCGUGUGAGCUUAGACACAUGACAAGAUCUCAGCCUUUCAAAAUUAAUAUUGAACUAAAGGGCUAGCAAUUCUUCCAGAGGCUUCUCAAUCUUUUAAAUUCAAAUUUCACUAUUUUUUUUUCCAAUCCAAGACAAUGAAUUUAGGGAUAUUCUUACAAAACACAAAAAUUAUACUUAAAAAUAAAUAAAAAUAGACAAUUUAUAAAAUGGGUUAUGGAUUUGUAAAUGUGAUGAAAUCGUUAGUGUUAUUAGCACUGUAAGUGAAAAUAAUUUUAACUAUUGUUAAAUACACACGCACACACACAUACAUACAUAUUAAUUGCUUACUACAAUAAUUUUUAUUUUGUUAA
rnacentral:lncRNA from 1 species